GCGGCCUGGUCAGCGGUUAGGGAGCCCCGGAAAGGCCAGGAGGAGGAGGGGCAAAGGCCGCUCUGCUCAGCUGGGAAGAGGUGGCUUCGUGCAGCCUACAGGCCAGGGCUUUGGACCGCCAACUCGGCAAGGGUGCGGCAGCGUGCAGGGAUGCAGGGAGCAGAGAGGUCGCGGCACCUGUGCACUCCUCCCACCUCUGCCUCAGUUUACCAUGCACGGCCUCAUUUCGCUCCAUGCUGCCCUGAGAGAAAAACGUUCUCCAGCCGAGAUUUGCUUGAAUUGCAAAUUCAAGUGAUCCCUGGACACAUCCUCCUUGACAGCCCCCAGGAGGCUGUGGGCUGGUUACAUCCCCCUAGACAGAAAAGGAAAAGUAUUCAGGGAGAAGGGAAGGAUGAAGCUUUGCCUUUUCUCAGCCUUGGAGCGUCAAGAAACCGUUACUGGGUGGAGCUGGGGCCAGGGGCCACAGGGUGCUGCGAGAGUCUGAAGAUCAAACUCUGGUGUGACCUGGCUCUAUUGCGGAGCCUCAAAGCCUCCAUCAUGAUGGAGGAAGUUGUCAGUGCCUUCUGUAGAACUUUCUUUCCACCAUUAGAAAAGUAUAAGCCCAAGCCUUGGGGUGAACAACCCCAAAGCUACUCUACCCUGAGCUCCUCUCUUUGGUCCUGCCAGUACUGGUCAAACCACUGCCCCUUUCUGGGCCUCAGUUUCCUGACCUGUCCCAAGGAGAUGCUGACACUUGGCUCCAGGGAGACUGUGAGAACUCAGUGGGGGGAUCUUGCCCCCUCAGAGCCUUGAGGUCUGUUUGGAAAGAAAACAGUUCCUCCAGGCAAGAGGGGAGAAGUCCCCAGGAGGCUGGGAGAGGAGCACCUGCCCUUCUUCUUGUCAGGAAUCACAGGUCCUACCUCCCAGCCCCAUCCACCACUGCAAGUCAGCGUCUGACCCGCUGUGGGUGUUCUGGGACACCCCUAUGUCCUAUGUGAGCUCUAUGCGAGGCCUCAGUCUUCACUUCAGAUGGGAAACUGAGGCCCAGCAAGAGGCAGGGCCUAGUGCAGGGACCACACUGAGUAGGGCUGGUUUACUAUUGCUCCUUGCACAGACUCUGUCAAGCCCUUCCCCCCACCCUCACCUCCCCAUCCCAGCAGGGCCCUUGCCCCCCUCCUUACCCCCUGGCUUCUACAUCUCCCUAAGGGCAGAGCCUAGUGGUGGUUUCUCCCUAGGAUAGGCUCAGCUGCCCUUGGUCCCAUCCCCUGUUAUUUGGGCCCUAACAGAAGCCACCCAAAUUUGAACCAUCUCUUCUCCUCCCUCAAGACCUGAGGGUCUCACGUCCUCUAAAUGAGUCCCCAGACCCCAGAUCCAAGGAUCUGGGGAUCACACUAUUGAUCAGCUGUCACUAAACUUAUUUUACUACGGGCCA